AAAGCUUACAGAGAAGAUAUUCAGGUAUCUGAGGAGGUCCGUAUUUUAUAGCCUUUGUUUAAUAUAUGGGAAAAUGGGAGUCAAGGAAAAUUAGAGUCCUUGCCUUGGUAAUACAUCCAGGACACAGGAAAAUUGGAAUUGGAACACCUGCCUGUGACACCAGUGCAUGCUUUUAACAACGACCUUGAUAACUUCUCACUUUUACUCCCUUCCUUGUUUACCCAGUCUGUCCACCUGGAAAUGCUAGUUCAUUAAGACUCAGAUCAAAGGUCAUUUCCCAUCAGAAUGUUUCUCUGACUAUUCCAGACACAGUCUAAUGCAUCAUCCUUUUCUGAUCUGUAGAGAACAUUAAAAGGUUGUUUAAUUUUAAGCUUUUAUAUAGCUGAGAGAGUUAUUUGAUGGCAAAAAGUUCUUCAUGAACUGGUAAGUACAGGAUUACCUAUGAUGUGCAAUUUAUAACUAGAAUGAGAAUAGCUAAACACUCCUUAACAAAGAACUUUGAACACCUUUAAUGAUUUCGACGGAUUUGCAGGCAUCAAAAUGGAUGUAGUAACACAAUGAAUGUCCAGAUAGGUAGUUUUGAUUUCUGAAAUUGCUCAUUGUUCUGACUCUAUUGAGAAUUCCCCAAUUUACACAUCACUUUACUCAAUUUGCUUCUCUCUCAAUGUGCUGACUCUAAUAGCAGUGCCACUUCUCCCUGCCUUCCCCAUCCAAACCUCUCUCCCAGAGAUAGCUGCUUUCCUAAGAAAAUUGUUUUCAGCAUAUUCUUUUCUGCGUAUUCUACCCCAAUAACGCACAAAAAACAACAUAUUGUAGUUG
rnacentral:lncRNA from 10 species